rnacentral:rRNA from 1 species
GAAAUGCGAUAAGUAAUGUGAAUUGCAGAAUUCAGUGAAUCAUCGAAUCUUUGAACGCACCUUGCGCUCCUUGGUAUUCCGAGGAGCAUGCCUGUUUGAGUGUCAUGGAAUUCUCAACUUAUAAAUCCUUGUGAUCUAUAAGCUUGGACUUGGAGGCUUGCUGGCCCUUGCGGUCGGCUCCUCUUGAAUGCAUUAGCUUGAUUCCGUACGGAUCGGCUCUCAGUGUGAUAAUUGUCUACGCUGUGACCGUGAAGUGUUUUGGCAAGCUUCUAACCGUCCAUUAGGACAAUCUUUUAACAUCUGACCUCAAAUCAGGUAGGACUACCCGCUGAACUUAA